GACGAAGGGGGGCUAGCGUUUGUUCGGAAUUACUGGGCGUAAAGCGCGUGUAGGCGGUUGUUCAAGUCGGGUGUGAAAGCCUUGAGCUCAACUCAAGAAAUGCACUCGGUACUGGAUGACUAGAGGACCGGAGAGGAUAGUGGAAUUCCCAGUGUAGUGGUGAAAUACGUAGAGAUUGGGAAGAACACCAGUGGCGAAGGCGGCUA
rnacentral:rRNA from 1 species